GUGGGUUAUUGAAAUCUUUAAUUUAAACUAAAAUAUCUACAAAUAUAGAAUUAAAUCUACUAGAGUUGGAUCCAACUCUUGAAACUAAAUAGACAUUAAAAAUACUUUUUACAUUAUUUCAAAUGAUGAGAAAUAACUAUGUGUGUGUAUCUUUUAAAGAGAAAUGGGAGGAAUAUCUCCAAAAAAUAUUUCUCAAUCACUUA
rnacentral:lncRNA from 1 species